rnacentral:lncRNA from 1 species
ACCAUUUUGACUCGCACCGACCUCUGUCAGGACACAGUGUGGGGCCUUAUCCCGGAACAGUCCAAUCGGAGAGCGGCAAGGAGGACCAGGAAGCACAGGUCUCUGGGGUGACUCUAAUAUCUGAAGAUGAAAACUGUUGGAUCACCAAACUCCCUUUAACUGCAGACGCCUCAUCUGCCAACUGCAUAGUCUACUGCCAAGGAAAGGAGUUGUUCU